GACGAACGCUGGCGGCGUGCUUAACACAUGCAAGUCGAACGGAGUGGCGAACGGGUGAGUAACACGUGGGUGACCUGCCCUGCACUCCGGGAUACGCCUGGGAAAAUGGGUCUAAUACCGGAUAGUGUGGGAGGGGCCCGCGGCCUAUCAUCUUGUUGGUGGGGUAGGGGCCUACCAAGGCGGCGACGGGUAGCCGGCCUGGGAGGGUGGACGGCCACAUAGGGGCUGAGACACGGCCCAGACUCCUACGGGAGGCAGCAGUGGGGAAUAUUGCACAAGGGGCGGAGGACUGAUGCAGCGACGCCGCGUGGGGGAUGACGGCCUUCGGGUGGUAAACUCCUUUCACCAUCGACGCGGUAGAUGGAGAAGAAGCACCGGCUAACUACGUGCCAGCAGCCGCGGUAAUUC
rnacentral:rRNA from 1 species